GACGAACGCUGGCGGCGUGCCUAAUACAUGCAAGUUGAGCGCUGAAGGUUGGUACUUGUACCGACUGGAUGAGCAGCGCACGGGUGAGUAACGCGUGGGGAAUCUGCCUUUGAGCGGGGGACAACAUUUGGAAACGAAUGCUAAUACCGCAUAAAAACUUUAAACACAAGUUUUAAGUUUGAAAGAUGCAAUUGCAUCACUCAAAGAUGAUCCCGCGUUGUAUUAGCUAGUUGGUGAGGUAAAGGCUCACCAAGGCGAUGAUACAUAGCCGACCUGAGAGGGUGAGCCGCCACAUUGGGACUGAGACACGGCCCAAACUCCUACGGGAGGCAGCAGUAGGGAAUCGUCGGAAAUGGACGAAAGUCUGUCCGAGCAACGCCGCGUGAGGGAAGAAGGUUUUCGGAUCGUAAAAAUCGGUUGGUAGAGAAGAAAGUUGGUGAGAGUGGAAAGCUCAUCAAGUGACGGUAACUACGCAGAAAGGGACGGCUAACUACGUG
rnacentral:rRNA from 1 species